rnacentral:rRNA from 1 species
AUUGAACGCUGGCGGCAUGCUUUACACAUGCAAGUCGAACGGUAACAGGCCGCAAGGUGCUGACGAGUGGCGAACGGGUGAGUAAUGCAUCGGAACGUGCCCAGUCGUGGGGGAUAACUACUCGAAAGAGUAGCUAAUACCGCAUACGAUCUAUGGAUGAAAGCGGGGGACCGUAAGGCCUCGCGCGAUUGGAGCGGCCGAUGUCAGAUUAGGUAGUUGGUGGGGGAAAGGCUCACCAAGCCAACGAUCUGUAGCUGGUCUGAGAGGACGACCAGCCACACUGGGACUGAGACACGGCCCAGACUCCUACGGGAGGCAGCAGUGGGGAAUUUUGGACAAUGGGCGAAAGCCUGCUCCAGCAAUGCCGCGUGCAGGUAGAAGGCCUUCGGGUUGUAAACUGCUUUUGUACGGAACGAAACGGCUCUGGUUAAUACCCGGGGCUAAUGACGGUACCGUAAGAAUAAGCACCGGCUAACUACGUG